GUGCUCACUUCGGCAGCACAUAGACAAAAGCUGGAACAAUACAGAGAUUAGCUUGGCUGCCGCGUGAGGAUGACAUGCAAAUUCAUGAAGCUUUCCAUAUGCUA
rnacentral:snRNA from 1 species